UACGUAGGGGGAAAGCGUUGUCCGGAUUUAUUGGGCGUACAGGGUGCGUAGGCGGCCGUGCAAGUCUGGCGUGAAAGCCCCGGGCUCAGCCCGGGAAGUGCGCUCGAAACUGCGCGGCUCGAGUGCCGGAGGGGAGAGUGGAAUUCCUGGUGUAGCGGUGAAAUGCGUAGAUAUCAGGAGGAAUACCGGUGGCGAAAGCGACUCUCUGGACGGCAACUGACGCUGAGGCACGAAAGCGUGGGGAGCAAACAGG
rnacentral:rRNA from 1 species